GACGAACGCUGGCGGCGCGCUUAACACAUGCAAGUCGAGCGAAGCGGCGGACGGGUGAGUAACACGUGAGUAACCUGCCUCAGACAUUGGGAUAGCCUCGGGAAACCGGGAUUAAUACCAAAUGGUCUAGGAUGGACUCGCGUCCCAUUAGAGAGUUGGUGAGGUAACGGCCCACCAAGGCGACGAGGGGUAGCCGGCCUGGUAGGGUGAACGGCUACAUUGGAACUGGGAAACGGUCCAAACUCUACGGGAGGCAGCAGUGGGGAAUAUUGCACAAUGGAGGGAACUCUGAUGCAGCGACGCCGCGUGAACGAGGAAGGCUUUCGAGUCGUAAAGUUCUUUUAUAUGGGAAGCGGUACCAUAAGAAAAAGCCCCGGCUAACUACGUGCCAGCAGCCGCGGUAAUUC
rnacentral:rRNA from 1 species